CACCUGGAGGUCGACUCCUAUCCCAUAGAGCUCCAUGUCGACGCCUGCUAUUGAAACCAAGGGACCGCCACACAUCGGGGACAGAACAAAAACAUUUCGAUGCGGUUCUUAAAAGCCCGUGGCAGGCCGGCACUUUGUUAAAACGUGAGCAAAAAGGCCGCUGACAAGGCCUACCGGGAACAAAGAGGUUUGAAAAGAUGUCCCAAUGAUCUCAAGUCUUCGGCGGUGCAACAUUGUUCCACCAAGUUGAACGAAAGGGCACA